rnacentral:rRNA from 1 species
GAUGAACGCUGGCGGCGUGCUUAAUACAUGCAAGUCGAACGAAGGUUGUAGCAAUACAUCCUUAGUGGCGAACGGGUGAGUAACGCGUUGGUGACCUGCCCCGAAGUGCGGGAUAACAGUCCGAAAGGAUUGCUAAUACCGCAUGGUUUCAUUUGGAUUAGAUGCCAGAUGAGCAAAGGCGAAAGUCGCUUCGGGGGGGCUUGCGUCCCAUCAGCUAGUUGGUAGGGUAAUGGCCUACCAAGGCAAUGACGGGUAGGGGACCUGAGAGGGUGGCCCCCCCACAAUGGAACUGAAACACGGUCCAUACACCUACGGGUGGCAGCAGUAGGGAAUAUUGGUUAAUGUGCGAAAGCGCGAACCAGCAACGCCGCGUGCACGAUGAAGGCCUUCGGGUUGUAAAGUAGCUUUUGUAGGGGAGUGAGGAAGGGACAGUACCCUCAGAAUAAGUCUCGGCCAACUACGUG